CCCAACGCUGAGCACAUCUUCCGCAUAUGUCCUCUGCAUGUGGCUUGUGAAUAAUGCUGUUUGGGAUCUGAUCUAUUUACUGGUUGUUCCACAUGAGUAUAUGCAGUUUUCCUUCUCUGAACCUGAUGUCAUUACUUCACUGUCAUAGCUUUACCUGGCUGGCUGCCUCCUGUCACACUAGCCCAUGCACUGGUCACAGAAAUACAUUUGGGCUAGAAAAAAACCAAGACCUUGAGUAAGCAAUUGCUCCAAUGGCUAAAUCUUGGGCAAGGCUUUCUCCUGGGACUUAUUGCUGGAAAAUUACACCAGACCUUCUCUACUUAGGUCACAAGAUGUACAUUGCUGGCCUCAGCUGGAUUUUCCCAGGGUCAGGUGCCCAUUCCUACCUAAUCAAAGGUCAUGAGUCCUCACACGUUUUCAAGAGUUUGGAAAAUGAUCUCCCUUGCCAGACUGCCAAUCUUCAAAGGGAGUUCUAUAUGUGGAAGAAAAAGAAAAAAUUUAUGUGCAUUUACCCUGUUUAAUACACUCAUCAUAUAUAGUAUUUUUGCAACAGCAAAAAUAACACUCUUAAUUUAGUAUGUAAUUAUAUAUGUCAUAUACUUAAUAUACAAAAUAUUUUCCUUGCUAACCUAUACGAUUUCAAAUGCCUGGAACAAUAGAUAAUUCAUGUGAUUACUUGAGAGUAUGUAAAUUUUAAUAUGUUAACAUAUACUGGCAAAGUUCUAAAAGUUGCGAUUUUAUGGGAGGCCAAAUUAUGUACAUAUUAGUUUGUCUGAAGACUUGAGCCAAAAGGAAACUAAUACACUUCUGAGCUACAAUAUGGACAUAAUGUCAUGAAGCAGGAACAUUAUGCUCCAUUUCAGGACACUUCUGCUGACCUGCACCUAGAAUACCCUGUUCUGUGCUGAUGACUCAGAUGUAAGAAUGAUGAAGUGCAUCGGCUGGCAUGCAGAGAACAAUAAGAAAAAGAACUGAGUUGUGGGAAGACAUGAGGAAAGGACAUGAGGCUCUUAAUAACAGCUGCCAAGUACUGCAGUCGGGAAUCUGGAGCAAAGUGAUUCAAUUCUGACCACUGCCUGUGAGUAAAUGGGAUUUUAUUUUUCAAUACUUUUGUUUAAUAGUACCUCCUUCAUUACAUGUGAACAGCACUCCAGGACAGUAAAUCAUGAAAUGGGAAUAAAGCCUGUAAUUUUAAUUAACAUAUUUUAAAAUGUUUCUAAUUUGUAUGCAUUUGAUCAAAUUUUCAUUUGCAUUGAGCUAUUUUUUUUCUUUC
ensembl:lncRNA LINC01445 long intergenic non-protein coding RNA 1445